AACACUGUUAACCUGCGGUACCUGCGGAAGGAUCAUUACAGUAUUCUUUUGCCAGCGCUUAACUGCGCGGCGAAAAACCUUACACACAGUGUCUUUUUGAUACAGAACUCUUGCUUUGGUUUGGCCUAGAGAUAGGUUGGGCCAGAGGUUUAACAAAACACAAUUUAAUUAUUUUUACAGUUAGUCAAAUUUUGAAUUAAUCUUCAAAACUUUUAACAAUGGAUCUCAGAUCGGAAGAGC
rnacentral:misc_RNA from 1 species